rnacentral:rRNA from 1 species
GGCAUACCCGGCAACCUGGGUAUAAUACCCGAUAGGUCUCGAUUGCUGGAAUGCAUCGAGAUUUAAAGCUCCGGCGCCUAAGGAUGGGUCUGCGGCCUAUCAGGUAGUAGUGGGUGUAGCGUACCUACUAGCCUACGACGGGUACGGGUUGUGAGAGCAAGAGCCCGGAGAUGGAUUCUGAGACACGAAUCCAGGCCCUACGGGGUGCAGCAGGCGCGAAAACUUUACAAUGCUGGCAACAGCGAUAAGGGAACCUCGAGUGCCAGGUUACAAAUCUGGCUGUCGAGAUGCCUAAAAAGCAUUUCAUAGCAAGGGCCGGGCAAGACCGGUGCCAGCCGCCGCGGUAACACCGGCGGCUCGAGUGGUAACCGUUAUUAUUGGGUCUAAAGGGUCUGUAGCCGGCCGGAUAAGUCUCUUGAGAAAUCUGGCAGCUUAACUGUCAGGCUUUCAGGAGAUACUGUCUGGCUCGAGGCCGGGAGAGGUGAGAGGUACUUCAGGGGUAGGGGUGAAAUCUUGUAAUCCUUGAAGGACCACCAGUGGCGAAGGCGUCUCACCAGAACGGACCUGACGGCAAGGGACGAAAGCUAGGGGCACGAACCGGAUUAGAUACCCGGGUAGUCCUAGCCGUAAACGAUACUCGCUAGGUGUCGGCCACGGUGCGACCGUUGUCGGUGCCGUAGGGAAGCCGUGAAGCGAGCCACCUGGGAAGUACGGCCGCAAGGCUGAAACUUAAAGGAAUUGGCGGGGGAGCACCACAACGGGUGGAGCUUGCGGUUUAUUGGAUUCAACGCCGGAAAUCUUACCGGGACCGACAGCAAUAUGAAGGCCAGGCUGAAGACUUUGCCGGAUUAGCUGAGAGUGGUGCAU